CCAAGUCCGAGGGAGUUCUCCUGCCGGACGGCCCUCCAACUGGACCAUCGGGUCUUCCUGGUUCUACGGCAGCUUCUGCCCUUUGGGCUCCAACUGAGACAUCAGCUCUGCAGACUUUGGACUUCCCAGCCUCCUGCAUAAUCCUUUUCUCAAGACUGCCGAGCCGGAGCCCCGCGAGGCUGGAGCAUCCUGGGCAGGAGGUGGCGCCAGGCCAGAGACUGGCUCGCAAGUCAGAUGUCCUUCCCGCCCUUCAGCUCCCUCAUCUGCGAUUUGAGGAUCAGAGACAGCCCCAGACACGUGCAGGAGUUGCCCUCGGAACACACCCAGGACCCCGCGUUCGCAGAAGGUCUGCCCAUUGACUCCAGUCCUCAGUAGACCCGAGAGAACCUGCUUUCCAAGGGGCUCGUACCGACCUUCCCUCUCUCCACAUCCUCAGCGUUAUUCCCAAGUGUGAGACUGAAUGUCACGUCCGCUGGGCGUGAGAUGGCCUUUCCGUGUCAUCCAGUUGUACUUCCCUCAUGGUUGACACGGAUCGUUUCUCCAUCAGAUCAGGGGCCGUUCCUUUUUCCUCUUUUGUGAAACACUGUUUGUAUCUUUUCCUAUUUAAAAAUUCUUUUCCUAUUGAUUUGUAGGGACUCUUUAUAUAUUUGUACAUAGACUCUUCAUCCAUCGC